rnacentral:rRNA from 1 species
AUUGAACGCUGGCGGCAGGCCUAACACAUGCAAGUCGAACGAGUGGCGGACGGGUGAGUAAUGUCUGGGAAACUGCCUGAUGGAGGGGGAUAACUACUGGAAACGGUAGCUAAUACCGCAUAACAUCAUAUGUGCCCAGAUGGGAUUCGCUUGGUGGUGGGGUAACGGCUCACCAAGGCGACGAUCCAUAGCUGGUCUUAGAGGAUGACAGGCAACACUGGAACGGAGACACGGUCCAGACUCCUACGGGAGGCAGCAGUGGGGAAUAUGGCACAAUGGGCGCAAGCCUGAGGCAGCCAUGCCGCGUGUAUGAAGAAGGCCUUCGGGUGGUAAAGUACUUUCAGCGGGGAGGCGUUACCCGCAGAAGAAGCACCGGCUAACUCCGUGCCAGCCGCCGCGGUAAUUC